rnacentral:rRNA from 1 species
AUCGACCUCGGAUCAGGUAGGAAUACCC